GUGCUUUAGCACGCGUGCGCAGGAGGCUCUUCCGUCAGCUGUGUUGUGGAAAUGGUGGAGAAGAAAACUUCGGUUCGCUCCCAGGACCCUGGACAGCGGCGGGUGUUGGACCGGGCUGCCAGACAGCGCCGCAUCAACAGGCAGCUCGAGGCCUUGGAGAAUGACAACUUCCAGGACGACCCCCAUGCAGGACUCCCCCAGCUCGGCAAAAGGCUGCCUCAGUUUGAUGAUGAUGCAGACACCGG